UUGUUUUCAUCAAUUUGAGAUGAAGAGUGAGUUAGUUCGUAUGGUUUUACGCCGCUUUUAGCAAUAUUCCAGCAAUAUCAUGGCGGGGGACACCAGAAAUGAGCUUCACAUAUUGAUCCCUUGUGGAAAUCG